rnacentral:rRNA from 1 species
GACAGAGGGUGCAAACGUUGUUCGGAUUUACUGGGCGUAAAGCGCGUGUAGGCGGCUUUGCAAGUCGGAUGUGAAAGCCCACGGCUCAACCGUGGAAGUGCAUCCGAAACUGCAUGGCUUGAGUCUCGGAGAGGAAGGUGGAAUGCUUGGUGUAGAGGUGAAAUUCGUAGAUAUCAAGCGGAACACCGGUGGCGAAGGCGGCCUUCUGGACGAUGACUGACGCUGAGACGCGGAAGCGUGGGGAGCAAACAGG